UUAAGCGACUAAGCGUACACGGUGGAUGCCCUGGCAGUCAGAGGCGAUGAAGGACGUGCUAAUCUGCGAAAAGCGUCGGUAAGGUGAUAUGAACCGUUACAGCCGGCGAUGUCCGAAUGGGGAAACCCAGUGUGAUUCGUCACACUAUCGUUAACUGAAUACAUAGGUUAACGAGGCGAACCGGGGGAACUGAAACAUCUAAGUACCCCGAGGAAAAGAAAUCAACCGAGAUUCCCCCAGUAGCGGCGAGCGAACGGGGAGCAGCCCAGAGUCUGAAUCAGCUUGUGUGUUAGUGGAACGGUCUGGAAAGUCCGACGGUACAGGGUGAUAGUCUCGUACACCAAAAUGCACAGGUUGUGAACUCGAAGAGUAGGGCGGGACACGUGGUAUCCUGUCUGAAUAUGGGGGGACCAUCCUCCAAGGCUAAAUACUCCUGACUGACCGAUAGUGAACCAGUACCGUGAGGGAAAGGCGAAAAGAACCCCGGCGAGGGGAGUGAAAAAGAACCUGAAACCGUGUACGUACAAGCAGUGGGAGCACCUUCGGGUGUGACUGCGUACCUUUUGUAUAAUGGGUCAGCGACUUAUAUUCUGUAGCAAGGUUAACCGUAUAGGGGAGCCGCAGGGAAACCGAGUCUUAACUGGGCGUUAAGUUGCAGGGUAUAGACCCGAAACCCGGUGAUCUAGCCAUGGGCAGGUUGAAGGUUGGGUAACACUAACUGGAGGACCGAACCGACUAAUGUUGAAAAAUUAGCGGAUGACUUGUGGCUGGGGGUGAAAGGCCAAUCAAACCGGGAGAUAGCUGGUUCUCCCCGAAAGCUAUUUAGGUAGCGCCUCGUGAAUUCAUCUUCGGGGGUAGAGCACUGUUUCGGCUAGGGGGUCAUCCCGACUUACCAACCCGAUGCAAACUACGAAUACCGAAGAAUGUUAUCACGGGAGACACACGGCGGGUGCUAACGUCCGUCGUGAAGAGGGAAACAACCCAGACCGCCAGCUAAGGUCCCAAAGUCACAGUUAAGUGGGAAACGAUGUGGGAAGGCACAGACAGCCAGGAUGUUGGCUUAGAAGCAGCCAUCAUUUAAAGAAAGCGUAAUAGCUCACUGGUCGAGUCGGCCUGCGCGGAAGAUGUAACGGGGCUAAACUGUGCACCGAAGCUGCGGCAGCGACACUAUGUGUUGUUGGGUAGGGGAGCGUUCUGUAAGCCUGCGAAGGUGGCCUGUGAGGGUUGCUGGAGGUAUCAGAAGUGCGAAUGCUGACAUAAGUAACGAUAAUGCGGGUGAAAAGCCCGCACGCCGGAAGACCAAGGGUUCCUGUCCAACGUUAAUCGGGGCAGGGUGAGUCGACCCCUAAGGCGAGGCCGAAAGGCGUAGUCGAUGGGAAACAGGUUAAUAUUCCUGUACUUGGUGUUACUGCGAAGGGGGGACGGAGAAGGCUAUGUUAGCCGGGCGACGGUUGUCCCGGUUUAAGCAUGUAGGCGGAGGUUCCAGGUAAAUCCGGUACCUUUUUAACGCUGAGGUGUGAUGACGAGGCACUACGGUGCUGAAGUAACAAAUGCCCUGCUUCCAGGAAAAGCCUCUAAGCAUCAGGUAACAUUGAAUCGUACCCCAAACCGACACAGGUGGUCAGGUAGAGAAUACCAAGGCGCUUGAGAGAACUCGGGUGAAGGAACUAGGCAAAAUGGUGCCGUAACUUCGGGAGAAGGCACGCUGAUAUGUAGGUGAAGCCCCUGCGGGUGGAGCUGAAAUCAGUCGAAGAUACCAGCUGGCUGCAACUGUUUAUUAAAAACACAGCACUGUGCAAACACGAAAGUGGACGUAUACGGUGUGACGCCUGCCCGGUGCCGGAAGGUUAAUUGAUGGGGUUAUCCGUAAGGAGAAGCUCUUGAUCGAAGCCCCGGUAAACGGCGGCCGUAACUAUAACGGUCCUAAGGUAGCGAAAUUCCUUGUCGGGUAAGUUCCGACCUGCACGAAUGGCGUAAUGAUGGCCAGGCUGUCUCCACCCGAGACUCAGUGAAAUUGAACUCGCUGUGAAGAUGCAGUGUACCCGCGGCAAGACGGAAAGACCCCGUGAACCUUUACUAUAGCUUGACACUGAACAUUGAGCCUUGAUGUGUAGGAUAGGUGGGAGGCUUUGAAGCGUGGACGCCAGUCUGCGUGGAGCCAACCUUGAAAUACCACCCUUUAAUGUUUGAUGUUCUAACGUUGGCCCCUUAUCGGGGUUGCGGACAGUGUCUGGUGGGUAGUUUGACUGGGGCGGUCUCCUCCCAAAGAGUAACGGAGGAGCACGAAGGUUAGCUAAUCCUGGUCGGACAUCAGGAGGUUAGUGCAAUGGCAUAAGCUAGCUUGACUGCGAGCGUGACGGCGCGAGCAGGUGCGAAAGCAGGUCAUAGUGAUCCGGUGGUUCUGAAUGGAAGGGCCAUCGCUCAACGGAUAAAAGGUACUCCGGGGAUAACAGGCUGAUACCGCCCAAGAGUUCAUAUCGACGGCGGUGUUUGGCACCUCGAUGUCGGCUCAUCACAUCCUGGGGCUGAAGUAGGUCCCAAGGGUAUGGCUGUUCGCCAUUUAAAGUGGUACGCGAGCUGGGUUUAGAACGUCGUGAGACAGUUCGGUCCCUAUCUGCCGUGGGCGCUGGAGAAUUGAGGGGGGCUGCUCCUAGUACGAGAGGACCGGAGUGGACGCAUCACUGGUGUUCGGGUUGUCAUGCCAAUGGCAUUGCCCGGUAGCUAAAUGCGGAAGAGAUAAGUGCUGAAAGCAUCUAAGCACGAAACUUGCCCCGAGAUGAGUUCUCCCUGAGACUUUAAGUCUCCUGAAGGAACGUUAAAGACGAUGACGUUGAUAGGUCGGGUGUGUAAGCGUAGCGAUACGUUGAGCUAACCGAUACUAAUGAACCGUGAGGCUUAACCUU
rnacentral:rRNA from 1 species